GCCUUUUUACUGAGCUACAUCCCCAUCCACUUUCUAUAUUUUAUUUUGAGACAGGGUCACAGCUAAAUUGCUAAGUUGUCCAGGCUGAGCUGAAACUUUGGAUCCUUCUGCCUCAGCACCCCCAGGUGUGGCCACUGCUCCCGGCAUCAGUUUCCUCUUUAAACCAGGAGACAGUGAAGCAACUGAGCCUGGUGCACGGCUAUCCAGAAAGUACUUGUGCUCUCCACCUCUCAGGUUCCCUGACUCCUUCUCUGUGGUACAGUGUGGCCUCCUGAUGUUCCUGGAAACCAGCAGAUAGGCCUCCUCUGCUAACCUGCCCUGGCGAAGCCCCAGCUCGCUAACUUCUGCCUGGCAGGAAUUUCAUAGCCACCCACUGAAGCCCUCAGAGAUCUAGGGAACCAGAAGAUGGGAAUGAGCCAUGAUGAGCUGCCACAUUAUGAGCCCAAAGGAGUGAGUAACCAUGGACUGAAACCUCUAAAAAGAGCCAAGCUGUCUGGAACCGCUGUCUGCCAGCUCCCCGCCGCCCCCCAUCCCAGAAACAUACCCAGCAAUCAGGAGCCACUGCUGCCCCUGGGCUGCUGAGACAAACGCUGAAGAGCCCAGAGUGGUCAUUAGCUGAGGGCGGAGACUUUGAUGGUCACCGUGAAGCCCACACUGAGGUCCAGGAUUUCAUGGGACUCCUCUGCUGUGGUGAAAGGGCUUUCCAAGUGGCAAUGUGAGAUUUUACCCUCAGCGGGCUUCCGGCCUCAGCCCUGCGCAGCAGCUCCCUGUCCCGUCUCAGAACUCGGCUCAUGGCCCAGCAGCUCCUGCCGGAGAUCCAAGCCCUGUCUUCCUCUGAUCAUUCUGGCUCCCUGCCUGGUCCCGGCUUCACAGAUGACCGGCCUCCACCUUUCUCCAAGCCCUCUAUGCUGUUUCAGGUCAGUCCUGCACCCCAAAUCUGUGUCUGUCCCCGCCCUGCAGCCCCUCGAGGCCACCAUCAGCGGACAGGGUGAGUGGGGUAGACACACACGGCCCCUGCGCCUCCUGCCAUAGCUCUUUGACUGGGCUUCAGGGUGACGGUCCAAGACCUUGGCAGCCUCCUCAGCCAUGCAUCACAUUCUUCAUUUUUUUUCAAUUUUUGUUUUUCACAUUGUUAGAGUACAUAAAGAUCACCUUCCUUGUGGGAGCUGCUACAUGUGCAGAACACAUCUUCACCCCUACCUUCAUCUCUUGGUCCCCUUCCUAUUUGCAAGACUUCUAUCUCUCUGUUUCCUAUUAUCUAUCUUUUUGGGUUUCCCAAAAUAAAAACCA